rnacentral:rRNA from 1 species
AUUGAACGCUGGCGGCAUGCCUUACACAUGCAAGUCGAACGGCAGCACGGGAGCAAUCCUGGUGGCGAGUGGCGAACGGGUGAGUAAAGUAUCGGAACGUGCCCAGUCGUGGGGGAUAACGUAGCGAAAGUUACGCUAAUACCGCAUACGAUCUAUGGAUGAAAGCGGGGGAUCGAAAGACCCCGCGCGAUUGGAGCGGCCGAUAUCAGAUUAGGUAGUUGGUGGGGUAAAGGCUCACCAAGCCGACGAUCUGUAGCUGGUCUGAGAGGACGACCAGCCACACUGGGACUGAGACACGGCCCAGACUCCUACGGGAGGCAGCAGUGGGGAAUUUUGGACAAUGGGCGCAAGCCUGAUCCAGCCAUGCCGCGUGCAGGAUGAAGGCCUUCGGGUUGUAAACUGCUUUUGUACGGAACGAAAAGGUUUGACUUAAUACGUUGGACUCAUGACGGUACCGUAAGAAUAAGCACCGGCUAACUACGUGCCAGCCGCCGCGGUAA